rnacentral:rRNA from 1 species
UACGAAGGGGGCUAGCGUUGUUCGGAUUUACUGGGCGUAAAGCGCACGUAGGCGGAUAUUUAAGUCAGGGGUGAAAUCCCGGGGCUCAACCCCGGAACUGCCUUUGAUACUGGGUAUUCUUUGAGUCCGGAAGAGGUGAGUGGAAUUCCGAGUGUAGAGGUGAAAUUCGUAGAUAUUCGGAGGAACACCAGUGGCGAAGGCGGCUCACUGGUCCGGUACUGACGCUGAGGUGCGAAAGCGUGGGGAGCAAACAGG